rnacentral:rRNA from 1 species
UACGUAGGGUGCAAGCGUUGUCCGGAAUUACUGGGCGUAAAGAGCUCGUAGGUGGUUUGUCGCGUUGUUCGUGAAAACCGGGGGCUUAACCCUCGGCGUGCGGGCGAUACGGGCAGACUUGAGUACUGCAGGGGAGACUGGAAUUCCUGGUGUAGCGGUGGAAUGCGCAGAUAUCAGGAGGAACACCGGCGGCGAAGGCGGGUCUCUGGGCCGAUACUGACGCUGAGGAGCGAAAGCGUGGGGAGCAAACAGG